rnacentral:lncRNA from 1 species
AACCACAAAUCCUAAUUUUGGGCAAAUAUACAAAAUUUCGACCUCAUUUAACUCAAAAAGUAGCACAUGAAGGUAUAUUUUUUAUUACAUAUUUGAUUUAAUUAGGCGAAAAAUAGGCUAUAUGGAAAUUUUCAUCAAACUGUAAAUACGGGAUUAAAACUGUAUCGUAUGCCCUUAAAUGUUGUGAAUACAGAAAGCAAACAUAAUGAUUAUGAUAUGCUUAAACUUCAUUAUAACAAAUAAUUUAACUUUAAAUAUAAUGAAUAUUUCAACUGGAAUUGACUGUUCACAUGUUAUGCUCGUUGAUUGUUGACAUUAUGUGUUGAAAAACAGUAAUAAGUCAAAGGACUAAGAGUUACAAGACAGAAAGUCCAAAAGUCACAAGUAAAUUUGAUUGGUCUAUAAUAGAAUAGAAUGUUUAUAAAAAUGUCAAUUGAAUUAGUCUUUCUAUUAAAAAAAAUCUUUUGAAACCACAUUGUGACCUCUUGUUAUAUAUGUUUUAAUUGGUUACAUUUUUGUCUAUUUUGUACCAUAAUGCUAUGC